rnacentral:rRNA from 1 species
UAGCGAAGGGGGCUAGCGUUGCUCGGAAUUACUGGGCGUAAAGCGCACGUAGGCGGCUUCUUAAGUCGGUGGUGAAAUCCUGGAGCUCAACUCCAGAACUGCCCUUCGAUACUGGGAAGCUCGAGUCCGGGAGAGGUGAGUGGAACUGCGAGUGUAGAGGUGAAAUUCGUAGAUAUUCGCAAGAACACCAGUGGCGAAGGCGGCUCACUGGCCCGAUACUGACGCUGAGGCACGGAAAGCGUGGGGAGCAAACAGG